GUCGAGCGGCAGCACGGGGAGCUUGCUCCCUGGUGGCGAGCGGCGGACGGGUGAGUAAUGCCUAGGAAUCUGCCUGGUAGUGGGGGAUAACGUUCGGAAACGGACGCUAAUACCGCAUACGUCCUACGGGAGAAAGCAGGGGACCUUCGGACCUCGCGCGGACGGAGCGGCCGAUGGCAGAUUAGGUAGUUGGUGGGAUAAAAGCUUACCAAGCCGACGAUCUGUAGCUGGUCUGAGAGGAUGAUCAGCCACACUGGGACUGAGACACGGCCCAGACUCCUACGGGAGGCAGCAGUGGGGAAUUUUGGACAAUGGGCGAAAGCCUGAUCCAGCCAUGCCGCGUGCAGGAUGAAGGCCUUCGGGUUGUAAACUGCUUUUGUACGGAACGAAAAGCCUCUUUCUAAUAAAGAGGGGUCAUGACGGUACCGUAAGAAUAAGCACCGGCUAACUACGUGCCAGCAGCCGCGGUAAU
rnacentral:rRNA from 1 species